UUUAUUUUUAAUAUUAUUGUAAUUGAUAACUAAAAUUAAAAUUUAACUAUUAUUAUUAUAAUUAAUUUUCUUUUAAUUUAGAUUAGAAAAAGAUUAUGUGAAAUUAGGUAAAUUGAAGAGAUCACCCAACAAUCUAUUGCGAAUAUCAGAUGAUGGAUAACCGUAAUAUUAUAUUCUUUUUCUUCAAUUUCUUUAUAGAGAGAAACAUUCAAUUUAGAAAGAAUUUUAGAGAGAGAUUGCACUUAGAGCAAUUAAUUCUUUUAUAGAAAUUUAGAGAUAUUCUACUUAGAGCAGAAAGAAUUUGAGAGAGACAUUCCAGAAUUGAAAAAAGAGACUUUAGACUAAAUUUUUAGAUACAAAAGAUGCCUAAUCUUUGAGUUCCCACUUUAGUCUUGAGUUCCUCUUGCACUUCACGAGCGUGGUGAGGAAAAGGCAGAUGAAGAAGAGGAAGAGCAGAUGAAGAAGAGGAAGAAAUGAAUGUAGAGAAAGGAAGGGAGGGAAGGAUAUUGGGAAAUGAUAUUCUGUACAUAAUUCUUACGCAAGUGAUGCACUUUUUUCAUUAAUGGAGACCUCCCUUACGCCUUCUCUUUUUCCAAGCCUGAGCCCUGACAGCACCUCAAUCACUUCCUCUUCUCUCACUUUUGAAUCGAGCAGCUUAAUCACUUCCUCUUAUCUCACUUUUGAAUUGUCAACUCUUGAUAGCUGCUCAAUCACCUUCUUUUUAUAUCACUUUUUGAAAUAUCAUCUCCAGUUUCUUCCAGUUCUUUCAGAACAACCAAGUUUCUUUCUCUCUCUUUCUCCCUCUAUCUGUUUUCUCUUUUGGUCUUCCCUCUCUCUCUCAUUUCCCUUUCGAUCUCUUUCUCAUUUUGUUUUAGGAAUUCUUGUAGUUCUUAUUUGUGUUUUUUGCUUUUGACCUUUGUGCUUGUUUUUUAUCUUUGUGUUCUGCUUUUGAGACUGUGACUUUUAUAUAUUUUGUUUUUUGGUCUUCCCUCUCUCUCGGGUUUCUCUCUAUCUGGUUUCUCUUUCAGUCUCUUUUUCAUUUUGUUUUAGGAAUUCUAGUAGUUCUUAUCUGUGUUCUUUUCUUUUGAUCUUUGUGCUAAUUAAAAAAACCCAUGACACGAAAAGAUUUUGUAUAUUCUUCCUUUCUUUUCAAUAAAACACCCAAUUCUAAUUGGGGGCUUCAGGAAGAAGAUGCUUGCUCUACUUUUCUUUUCGUUUUUCUCUUUUUUUUGUUCUCUUUCUCUCAUCCACAACCUCGAUACUCUAUUACUCUUUUUACCCUUGUACCCUGCUUCCUAUUCAUUUUUCUCUUUCUUUCUUUCUAAUUUAAUGUAUUCAAGCUUCAAUUGCUGGCAACUCUUUAAUCCUUAUCUUUCUUAUUUUAUUUCUUUUAUCUGUUUUGGGUCUUUUAAUUUUUGUUUUCUA
rnacentral:lncRNA from 1 species